rnacentral:rRNA from 1 species
GGGCUCGGGCUAACUCCAACCCAUGUGACAUACCUACUGUUGCUUCGGCGGGAUUGCCCCGGGCGCCUCGUGUGCCCCGGAUCAGGCGCCCGCCUAGGAAACUCAACUCUUGUUUUAUUUUGGAAUCUUCUGAGUAGUUUUUACAAAUAAAUAAAAACUUUCAACAACGGACUUCUUGGUUCUGGCAUCGAUGAAGAACGCAGCGAAAUGCGAUAAGUAAUGUGAAUUGCAGAAUUCAGUGAAUCAUCGAAUCUUUGAACGCACAUUGCGCCCGCCAGUAUUCUGGCGGGCAUGCCUGUCUGAGCGUCAUUUCAACCCUCAUGCCCUUAGGGCGUGGUGAAGGGGAUCGGCCAAAGCCCGGCAGGGACGGCCGGCCCCUAAAUCUAGUGGCGGACCCGUCGUGGCCUCCUCUGCGAAGUAGUGAUAUUCCGCAUCGGAGAGCGACGAGCCCCUGCCGUUAAACCCCCAACUUUCCAAGGUUGACCUCAGAUCAGGUAGGAAUAGGCGCUGAACUUAAGCAUAUCAAUAGUGGGAGGAAGCACGCGGAGGGUAAACUCCAACCAUGGGAAGCUGGCUCCUGUUGCGUGGCGGGAUAUCCGGGCACUGUGUUCCGGAUCGGGGCCGCUAAGAACUCACUCUUGAUUGAUUGUCCAAUCUUAGAGUGGGGUUUGCAAUUAGAUAACAACUAUUACAAGAUUCCCUGAGUUCUG